GAUGAACGCUGGCGGCGUGCCUAAUACAUGCAAGUCGAGCGAACAGACGAGGAGCUUGCUCCUCUGACGUUAGCGGCGGACGGGUGAGUAACACGUGGAUAACCUACCUAUAAGACUGGGAUAACUUCGGGAAACCGGAGCUAAUACCGGAUAACAUGUUGAACCGCAUGGUUCAACAGUGAAAGGCGGUCUUGCUGUCACUUAUAGAUGGAUCCGCGCCGCAUUAGCUAGUUGGUAAGGUAACGGCUUACCAAGGCAACGAUGCGUAGCCGACCUGAGAGGGUGAUCGGCCACACUGGAACUGAGACACGGUCCAGACUCCUACGGGAGGCAGCAGUAGGGAAUCUUCCGCAAUGGGCGAAAGCCUGACGGAGCAACGCCGCGUGAGUGAAGAAGGUCUUCGGAUCGUAAAACUCUGUUAUUAGGGAAGAACAAAUGUGUAAGUAACUAUGCACGUCUUGACGGUACCUAAUCAGAAAGCCACGGCUAACUACGU
rnacentral:rRNA from 1 species